CUUGGAACUGAAUCAACGUCUCCAGCUAGCACCCUGCACCUUUCUGCAGCCUUUUUCAGGAUACUUCCAGCUCAGACGUGUACAGAAAGUAAAAUCUGUUACAGUGUGGAAGCACCAGCACCGAUCAGAUGAAAAUCCCCUAGGGAACUGCCUGUAAGUCUGACCAACAUUUUGUACUCAUACAAAAUGAGUUGUGUUUUAAGAUGAAAAGUGU
rnacentral:lncRNA from 1 species